UUGUUAACCAGCUUCAUGAUGAAAAGAAAUUAUCAGAAAAGGCUCAACAAAUGAUUGAUUCAUAUAAAGAUAUUCCUGUUGACCUGUUCACUAAACCUGCUUCUGAAUACUCUGAAGACCAAAAGAAGUUUUCAACCACUCUGUAUUUUUAUGGACCGAAAGCCUACAACUAUUUAAGAAGCAAGGUCAACUUACCACACCAAUCCACGAUUAGAAGUUUAUUCCAGACUACACCAAACUAAAGUUUAUUUAUUAUUCCAUUUGUUUGAAUGAUACUGUUGUGGCUGAGUAACAUAUCUUCUCAACCAGGUCUCUCUAGUCAAGUUAUAAACAUGCUUCAGCAGAAAGUUCAAAGUGAUGAAUGGACCUACAAACACUGCAGUCUGAUGAUUGAUGGCAUGUCCAUAAGAAAACACAUUGAUUGGGAUGCAAAGAACAGUCAAAUGGUUGGUUUUGUUAAUUUAGGUUCUGGACCAGUUGAAAAUGAUGCAGUUGAGGCACCUGAAGUCAUAGUGAUACUAGCUGUUGGUUUACAAGGUCACUGGAAAGUACCACUAGGUUAUUUCCUUGUUGAUGGAAUAUCAGCAGAGAUACAAAGCCAGCUUCUUUUGACAGCAAUAUCAUCACUUUACCAAAUUUGUAUUAGAGUAACAUCUAUUGUGAUGGAUGGGCAUCCAACCAACCAAAGAAUGGCAAACAUUUUAGGAGGCAAUUUAAACCCUGACAACAUCAGAAGUACUUUCCAACAUCCA